rnacentral:tRNA from 1 species
GGAGAGAUGUCCGAGCGGCUGAAGGAGCACGACUGGAAAUCGUGUGUNNUCAAAUCCCUCUCUCUCCGCCA